ensembl:snoRNA
UGCUUAUGAUGAAUAAAAUGAAUAAGAGUAGUGGACAGAAGUGAUUUCUGAGAAGUUUUUUUUGCGCUGAAGCA